GGUUAGGUAGCCAGCUAGCGGUUAAGGCAGCCCAUACGAGUUGGGUCCGAGUACAGACGCAGUACUUGGUCGCUGGUUCGAAUCCGGCUCUGACCA
rnacentral:tRNA from 1 species